CGCCGCCGGCCUGCCGCCCCCGCGCCGCCCUGACGCAGCCGGCCCGCCCUUCGCCCCCGCGGCGCCGGCUUCUUGUGACGUCGCAGCCCAGCCCUCGCGCUUCGUCCCCCGAGCGCGGCGGGGCGGCGGGGCGGCGGGGCGGCGGGGCGGCGGGGCGGCGGGGCGGCGGGGCGGCGGGGCGGGCGGGCGCUCGUGACCUGUCGGAAGCUCUGUGGGGAAGGACCCGUCUUUUGUAAUUUCCUACGGUUUCCUAAUAAGGGUGAAAAUGCGGGCACCUCUGAACUUGCAAGCUGGGAGUUCUGAUCCAAGAGUGGCAUCUGGAGAGGCUCGGUGUAAAAAGCGGUUAAAGAGCUUCCAGGAGUGGUUAAUCCUUUUGUAAGCUAUUUGAAGCCAAAAUGGAAAUCAAGUGUUUCCAGACUACAAGGCCACCCUGUGGGCCUCUCAGUGUGGCAGCACCUGUUCCCAGUUCUGCCAGCGGAUGCUGUUACUCUGGCUCUACACUCGGGGAACCUAAAGCCCGCAUCACUGAUGAGCCAUGUGGAGGUCCAUGCCUGGAAUCCAAACCCAUGAACCCCAGGCUGCUGAAGCGGAGCAUGCGAACUUAACUGCUACACCACAGGGCGGCCUCUCUUCUCUUCUUAUAAGGACAUCAGUCAUUGGAUUUAGCAUCUAUCUUAAUCUGAUGUCGCCGCAUGUUUUCCCUUAGAAGAGGACUUCCUCAUCUCCUAACUAGUUCAAUAUGCCGCACUCUGUCCUGGGAAUGGAUGUUCCACCCGUCAAAGCGACUCAGUGUGUGUUCGCGCCAUCUAGUGGACAACUCGGAUUUAGCACCGCGGGCUUUACGUCUGACCGGGCGCCUCCCGAAAGCACGGAAAGAGCCAGAAAGCGGCACUACUGUGUCCUCGGUGUCUCUAUGCAGAAUCUCCCCAAAGAGAAGUGUCUCCUCUAUUAUGUGGAAAGAAAACACACACAUUUAUUUUGUAGUUUAUUUUAUUACCUAUUUUAUUUCAUCUUUAUGACUUUCUUCGUCUUGCCGUUGAAAUUUAAAAUGUUUCCUAAUAUCCUUGUGGGAGAUGAUAAAAAUAACUCAUAUAGCUGUUCUCCUUUCUUUAUAACAGUGUUUUUAUUCAGCAAGGAUUGGAUUCUAUUUCUUUCUCCUCUGGGAUGUUUCCCUAGUCCACGGCUGACCUUUCUUAGGAAUUAAUUGAAAAGGAAAUGGCGGAUACCAUUCAGCCCCUGGGCCUGGUAAACCAGUAGAGGCCAGGCUUGGAGGUCGCCGGGGCCAGCUGAGACAAGCUGCCAGGGAACUCUGCUGCUCUGUGUUAGGAAGACUUCUUGUUACCCUGAUGUGGACGAGCUGAUCACACAUGGCCACACCUUCAGGGCAAAGGUUCCUGGAUAUCACUAGAGCUCUGCAUACCGAAAAUGGUGUAAAUUCCAGACCCUGCCCAGAUGAACUGCGUCUAAAGUUACAAAUAACAUAUAUAGUGGCCAAAUUCAUUGACCGGAACUGUUUUCACAAGAAAGAUGCUGAUCAAAACAGAGUUGAACAGAAGAUGGAGUAGAAGAAAGGGAAAAUGAAUGAUUCAGUUAUUGCUAACUUGUAGGAAAUAAAUAUUUGGUAAAUAAGAAACGAACUUUUGAGAGAAAAACGUUAAUUCACUGAGAAAUAAGGAUAAUGAAUUCAUUUUAAUUGUCUGCCUAAUUUCAUACAUGUAACCUACUUCUUUCCUUGAUGUCAUAUUAUCAUGGGAUCUUUAUAAGGGACCUUGAAAUUUCAUGUGACACAUUUCAGUGAUUGCAGGUCAGAACUCAUUUCAUCCAUCCAGGGAAGUGAGAGUCUAUCUGCUCUCAAAGAAUUAGGAAGAAAGGGAUUCCAACCUGAUGGGGAAACGAAAUGAUAAGGAUUAUGAGAAUGAUCGGAUGGGGAGGGGGGCUUUUUCUGUUGCCCCGGAUUUGAAAGAAGGCCCAGAGCUAAAAACGGUAAUGGGGAUCUGAAACUUUCUCCAAAGUUUUUCUAAGGGGCUGGGCCUCAGUCCCCACCUACACCCCCUGCCCCUUAACACCCAGUCCAGGGUCUACAGAAGAAGCCUGAGGAGAAGUGAGGUGGGCCGUUCCUCCCCUCCCACUGGGGAGGGACUUCUCCUGACUCCCACUGCCUAGUAACGAAAGAGGCUCUGACAGUGGCUUUCAGGGCUGAGCCUGGUCACCUCUGCUUAGGUAGCAGACUUGCUGGGCUGCCAUUCCUCCCCGAGCCGAGAAGAUGGAAGCUGGGGAGACCUGGCUGGCCCGGUGGAAUUGGCGACCGUGGAGCAGCCAGCUUGCCCGCCUAUUAUGUCGCAUGACCAGGGUGCAGGAAAUUCCUUAGGACCAGAGGACGUAAGGAAGGCAGCUAUCCUUGAGCUACCUGGCUAUACGCCCCCCACAACCCCAAAGACUGUGCACCACGAUUUGGGUAUAUUAUUGGGCUAGUUGAGGGGUGGGUGGGAGAGGUCCAGCUAGAGCUGAAUCUUCCGUAUUGGGGGACUGCACACUGGGAAGACCCGUCUGGCUAAAUUUCACAUGUGUUCCCCAUGAGGCAGAGUUCAGAUGCUGGCAUGCACACUCAGAUCGCCGGAGAAGCAGAGCAGUCAACAGAGCGGGGGCCACAGCUGUCUCUUUCCUUCCCUUUCUUCCUGACUCCGAUCCUGAGGGAGCCAGGCCUGGGAGGGGGAAGAAGGAGUGUCUCAGAGCCUGGACUCCCUCCAGCCUCAUCUCACUCUAAGCAGUCAGGG
ensembl:lncRNA